rnacentral:rRNA from 1 species
GAUGAACGCUAGCGGCAGGCCUAACACAUGCAAGUCGAGGGGUAACAGGAAAGAAGCUUGCUUUUUUGCUGACGACCGGCGCACGGGUGAGUAACGCGUAUGCAACCUACCUUUAACAGGAAGAUAGCCCCGAGAAAUCGGGAUUAAUACUCCAUAAUAUUUUAAUAUCGCAUGGUAUAAAAAUUAAAGCUCCGGCGGUUAAAGAUGGGCAUGCGUGACAUUAGUUUGUUGGUAAGGUAACGGCUUACCAAGACAUCGAUGUCUAGGGGUUCUGAGAGGAUUGUCCCCCACACUGGUACUGAGACACGGACCAG